ACACAAGCUCUGCUGUCAGCCAUGUGGUAAGAUUCGUGGGGCUGGCUCUGCCCCGACUGGGGAAGCCUGAAGUUUUGGGGGAUCAGAUCAGCUCAGGGGUAGAGUAGCAGGUCAUUCUGGUCUGACACAAGCCACCCCCUCUAAUUUAACAUUAUCAGGAAUAAAGGUGCUAUUUCGAUCUUCAUUUCUCUGGCUCUUGGUCUGUCAAUGGAGUGGUUCUGUAGUCGGAGAGGGUGAAAGUGGAGUUACAAAUUUGCCCCCCUCAAACCUGAGAAGCAACUCUUUGGACCAAUAGCAAAGUGAUUUCUCAGCUGUGAACUAACAGUUUGCUUUUGGAAUGAAUCAUGUGCUUUCAAUUUUCCACUUCAAAAACACACACUUCAGCAGAAGUCACUUUACAGCAAAUGAAAGAAGAAAUUUCCCCAGGGGAGAAAGGUGUUUGUUACUUAGAGGAGGGUAGAAGGGAUGACUUAGGAGCAUCUAUUUUUCCCAACUGUGAAGUCACCAGGAGGUCUUUUUGAUAUUAUUGCCCUUCUAGCCAAUAAGGCAGUGGUUUGCAAAAUGCUAGCAAUUAAGCAGUGCUCUAAUUGGCUGAAUUGUAUCUCUCUGUCCAGAGUUCUGGGAGAGAACAUAGGCAGGGUUAGGCAUGGGAGAAUGUGUCUGACUCACAACGAAGGAAUGAAGCAUGCCGGGCCUCAUCUCGGACCUGCACACUGCCCCUCAUUAUGUUCAUGAUCGGGAAAUGGAUAAAGAGUGGCCAGAAGGUGAAAAAGAAGAGAUGGCCCCCUGAAAGGGACAUCCACAUUUAUUUGAGCACCUACCAGGAUACCUGCUUUGGGAGCCUUCUGCUGCUGCGUGAGAUCCCUGGCUACCCUGGAGAGACAUCAGACAACAAGUGAGAUGCCCAAGAGCCCUAGCUGUCUUUGUCUUUGCAGCCCAAGCUCCAGACAUGUACUGAAGAAGCUUUAAGGAUAAAUUCAGUCCCAACUACUCCCUGGCUACAACUAUGAGACAGACCCUCCCAAGUCAGAACUGCCUAGCCAAGCUCAGGCAACUCCAAGAUUUAAGAGCAAAAUAAAAGAUAGUUAUUGCUUUAA
rnacentral:lncRNA from 1 species